rnacentral:rRNA from 1 species
CCUACGGGGGGCAGCAGUGAGGAAUAUUGGUCAAUGGGCGCGAGCCUGAACCAGCCAAGUAGCGUGAAGGAUGACUGCCCUACGGGUUGUAAACUUCUUUUAUAAAGGAAUAAAGUGAGGCACGUGUGCCUUUUUGUAUGUACUUGAUGAAUAAGGAUCGGCUAACUCCGUGCCAGCAGCCGCGGUAAUACGGAGGAUCCGAGCGUUAUCCGGAUUUAUUGGGUUUAAAGGGAGCGUCGAUGGGUUGUUAAGUCAGUUGUGAAAAUUUGCGGCGAAAACAUAAAAUUGCAGUUGAAACUGGCAGUAUUGAGUAGACUAGAGGUACGCGGAAUGCGUGGUGUAGCGGUGAAAUGCUUAGAUAGCGCGAAGAACUCCGAUUGCGAAGGCAGCUUACUA